ACCCUCUCAGGCUGGAGAGAUGCAGUAUUCUGUGUCUACCCUAGGACAGGGAGAGAGAAAGGACUCCUUAAGACCACAAUGAGUAUGCUAGUGACUGUUCUUGAGGGGAAAGAAAGCA